UACGUAGGGGGCAAGCGUUGUCCGGAAUCAUUGGGCGUAAAGCGCGUGUAGGCGGCUCGAUAAGUCUGCUGUGAAAGUCCAGGGCUCAACCCUGGGAUGCCGGUGGAUACUGUCGGGCUCGAGUCCGGAAGAGGAGUGUGGAAUUCCUGGUGUAGCGGUGAAAUGCGCAGAUAUCAGGAGGAACACCAAUGGCGAAGGCAGCACUCUGGGACGUGACUGACGCUGAGGCGCGAAAGCCAGGGGAGCAAACGGG
rnacentral:rRNA from 1 species